AAAGGAAUGAAGGAGGAAGAGAGAGAAGGGUACUUGAAGCAAGCUGCUAAUCCCUCAAAUACUGAAUCUCAUUAUAUACUUCCACAUCUUCUCAAUUUAUAUGCAUCGCGAGCCAAGGCACAAGAUUUUGAGAUUUAUGCUCCAAAUGCAACGUUUGAAGAUCCCCUUAUGCGUGCAGAGGGGGUAAAGCAGAUAAAAUCGUCAUUUUAUUCUCUCGGGAAGGUCU